CAAAUCUGACCUCGAAUCAGGUGGGACUACCCGCUGAACUUAAGCAUAUCAAUAAGCGGAGGAAAAGAAACUAACAAGGAUUCCCCUAGUAACGGCGAGUGAAGCGGGAUGAGCUCAAAUUUAAAAUCUGAUAGUCUUUGGCUGUCCGAGUUGUAAUCUAGAGAAGUGUUUUCCGCGUUGGACCAUGUACAAGUUUCCUGGAACGGAACGUCAUAGAGGGUGAGAAUCCCGUCCUUGACAUGGACUACCAGUGCUUUGUGAUACACUCUCAACGAGUCGAGUUGUUUGGGAUUGCAGCUCAAAAUGGGAGGUAAAUUCCUUCUAAAGCUAAAUAUUGGCGAGAGACCGAUAGCGAACAAGUACCGUGAGGGAAAGAUGAAAAGCACUUUGGAAAGAGAGUUAAACAGUACGUGAAAUUGUUAAAAGGGAAACGAUUGAAGUCAGUCGCGUUUACUUGGACUCAGCCUUACCUCGGUUUGGUGCAUUUCCUUGUGAACGGGCCAGCGUCAAUGUUGUCCGUUGGAAAAGGGUUGGAGAAAUGUGGCUCUUUCGGGAGUGUUAUAGUCUCUGAUCGUAUACAACGGCUGAUAUUGAGUGGUACAGCAUGCUUCGGCGGUGCUUGUGCUGGCAUAAUGGCUUUAAACGACCCGUCUUGAAACACGGACC
rnacentral:rRNA from 1 species